ensembl:snRNA U6 U6 spliceosomal RNA
AUGCCCCGCCCCCAACUUAUAUAUUAAAAUUAGGACAGAUGUAGAAAAGAUUAUCAUGGACUUUGGACAAGAAUGACAACCAAAUUCAUGCAGUGUCUCCUAUUUUU